GACGAACGCUGGCGGCGUGCCUAAUACAUGCAAGUAGAACGCUGAAGGAGGAGCUUGCUUCUCUGGAUGAGUUGCGAACGGGUGAGUAACGCGUAGGUAACCUGCCUGGUAGCGGGGGAUAACUAUUGGAAACGAUAGCUAAUACCGCAUAACAGUAGAUGUUGCAUGACAUUUGCUUAAAAGGUGCAAUUGCAUCACUACCAGAUGGACCUGCGUUGUAUUAGCUAGUUGGUGGGGUAACGGCUCACCAAGGCGACGAUACAUAGCCGACCUGAGAGGGUGAUCGGCCACACUGGGGCUGAGACACGGCCCAGACUCCUACGGGAGGCAGCAGUAGGGAAUCUUCGGCAAUGGACGGAAGUCUGACCGAGCAACGCCGCGUGAGUGAAGAAGGUUUUCGGAUCGUAAAGCUCUGUUGUAAGAGAAGAACGAGUGUGAGAGUGGAAAGUUCACACUGUGACGGUAUCUUACCAGAAAGGGACGGCUAACUACGUGCCAGCAGCCGCGGUAAUACGUAGGUCCCGAGCGUUGUCCGGAUUUAUUGGGCGUAAGCGAGCGCAGGCGGUUAGAUAAGUCUGAAGUUAAGGCUGUGGCUUAACCAUAGUACGCUUUGGAAACUGUUUAAUUUGAGUGCAAGAGGGGAGAGUGGAAUUCCAUGUGUAGCGGUGAAAUGCGUAGAUAUAUGGAGGAACACCGGUGGCGAAAGCGGCUCUCUGGCUUGUAACUGACGCUGAGGCUCGAAAGCGUGGGGAGCAAACAGGAUUAGAUACCCUGGUAGUCCACGCCGUAAACGAUGAGUGCUAGGUGUUAGACCCUUUCCGGGGUUUAGUGCCGUAGCUAACGCAUUAAGCACUCCGCCUGGGGAGUACGACCGCAAGGUUGAAACUCAAAGGAAUUGACGGGGGCCCGCACAAGCGGUGGAGCAUGUGGUUUAAUUCGAAGCAACGCGAAGAACCUUACCAGGUCUUGACAUCCCUCUGACCGCUCUAGAGAUAGAGUUUUCCUUCGGGACAGAGGUGACAGGUGGUGCAUGGUUGUCGUCAGCUCGUGUCGUGAGAUGUUGGGUUAAGUCCCGCAACGAGCGCGACCCCUAUUGUUAGUUGCCAUCAUUCAGUUGGGCACUCUAGCGAGACUGCCGGUAAUAAACCGGAGGAAGGUGGGGAUGACGUCAAAUCAUCAUGCCCCUUAUGACCUGGGCUACACACGUGCUACAAUGGCUGGUACAACGAGUCGCAAGCCGGUGACGGCAAGCUAAUCUCUUAAAGCCAGUCUCAGUUCGGAUUGUAGGCUGCAACUCGCCUACAUGAAGUCGGAAUCGCUAGUAAUCGCGGAUCAGCACGCCGCGGUGAAUACGUUCCCGGGCCU
rnacentral:rRNA from 1 species